GCCAGCAGCUAUAUCACCCUCACAACUCACAACUGGCAACCCACUGAAGCUCAGCAGGUGUGAGCCUGGUCAGUACUUGGAUGGGAGACCUCCUAGAAAUAACUAAGGUUGCUGCUGGAA
rnacentral:rRNA from 1 species